CUACAGUGAAUGCUCGUAUCGAUAACGAAUAUGAAAGCGGCAAAGUGUCUACUGCUAUGUGUAGACCUUCAACAUGACACAGGCCGAUCAAGAACCCCUUUUCUCUUGGCCUGAUAAAUGGAUUCAUGUUUUCUAGAACGCUUUUUGUCCCUAUGAUACUGAGCACCUUUUGUUUGAGUAUGUGUGUUGACUCUCUUAUCGUAUAUUACUACCUUGCUUAGGAUGCGAGUCAAAGCCUUGCACCAUUUUUAAUAUUUUAAUAUAUUCAAGGUUUUAUAAAAAAAAAGUUAGUAACGAUAAUAUUUUGGGCAAUAUGGGAGAGAGUGUCGAAGAUUUAGACUAGCCAGAUUUGCAAAGUGCAUUUCAGUGAUUAUGCUUUCAAGAUUGUUGAAACCUAGCCGCAAAUCUAACUUUGGGAGGCUGUGUUGCUCUGAUAUCUCAAUUGGUUAAACCCUGCAGCCCUGGAUCGUGCUACUAUUGCGCCUCCA
rnacentral:lncRNA from 1 species